rnacentral:rRNA from 1 species
CCUACGGGGGGCUGCAGUGAGGAAUAUUGGUCAAUGGGCGCGAGCCUGAACCAGCCAAGCAGCGUGAAGGAUGACUGCCCUACGGGUUGUAAACUUCUUUUGUAAGGGAAUAAAGUGCGGCACGUGUGCCUUUUUGUGUGUACUUUAUGAAUAAGGAUCGGCUAACUCCGUGCCAGCAGCCGCGGUAAUACGGAGGAUCCGAGCGUUAUCCGGAUUUAUUGGGUUUAAAGGGAGCGUAGAUGGGUUGUUAAGUCCGUUGUGAAAGUUUGCGGCUCAACCCUAAAAUUGCAAUUGAAACUGGCAGUCUGGAGUACAGGAGAGGUAGGCGGAAUUCGUGGUGUAGCGGUGAAAUGCUUAGAUAUCACGAAGAACUCCGAUUGCGAAGGCAGCUUACUAAACUGCCACUGACAUUGAUGCUCGAAAGUGUGGGUAUCAAACAGGAUUAGAUACCCUGGUAGUC